AGCUGAAAAUAUAUAACCGUACAAACAUCUACCCAAAUACAAACAAACCAUUUGACUUACCCAGUAGAGGCGAUCGAACAGAUACACACACUAAAAGUACCGCAAGGGAACCACUCAAGCAAUAAACAGCAAAGAUCAAUCCUUGUACCUUUUGCAUCAUGAUUUAGCAAGCAAAUCAAGGCAAGAUGAAUCACAGUCUAUACCCCGAAACCAGAUGAGCUACCUUAAAGCAGCCUAACGGGCAAACCCUUCUCUGUGGCAAAAGAGUGGGAAGACUUUCAGGUAGAGGCGAAACACCUAUCGAAUCUGGAGAUAGCUGGUUACCCAAAAAAGAAUAUAAGUUCCACUUUAGACCAUAACAUACAACUAUAUUAUCUAAAGAAACUCAAUAGGGGUACAGCCCUAUUGAAACAGGAUACAACCUGAAUUUGAGAGAACCCACUAAACCUUCAUCUGUAGGCCUUUAAGCAGCCACCCUAUAAAAUAUCGUUAAAGAAUUUACCAAAACUAAUUCAAAACAUAGCUUAAAACUCCAAAUACACUAAAGGUAAACCUACUCUCUGUAGGAAGUCCCCUGCUAAAACUAAUAAUAAGACAACCUCUCUCAAACGCACCCAUCUGCUAGAAACAGAAAACCUGCUAGCCAUUAACAGACCCAACCAGGACAUAACGCUAACCCAUACACACCCGUUUUCCAACUGUGACCCCAACACAGGUGCGUCAUAAAAGAAAGAUUAAACACUAUAAAAGGAACUCGGCAACCAAAGACCCCAACUGUUUAACAAAAACAUAACCUUUAGCCAUUAAACCAAUAUUAAAGGCAACGCCUGCCCAGUGAACAAUUAAACGGCCGCGGUACCCUAACCGUGCAAAGGUAGCAUAAUCAUUUGUCUAUUAAUUGUAGACCUGUAUGAAAGGCAAAAUGAGGGCCUAACUGUCUCUUAUAGUAAAUCAAUUAAACUGAUCCCCCAGUCCAAAAGCUGGGAUAUAAACAUAAGACCAGAAGACCCUGUGAAGCUUAAAUUAAACUAUUAAACCCUAUAAUAGCUCCUUUCGGUUGGGGCGACCUUGGAAAAUAAAAGAACUUCCAAACAAAUAAUACUAUACGUAUCUCGCUUAGGCCAACAAGCCCGCAAUGAUCCAGCAAAGCUGAUAAUUGAAACAAGUUACUCCAGGGAUAACAGCGCUAUCUUCUUCAAGAGCCCAUAUCAAAAAGAAGGUUUACGACCUCGAUGUUGGAUCAGGACAUCCUAAUGGUGCAACCGCUAUUAAGGGUUCGUUUGUUCAACGAUUAAUAGUCCUACGUGAUCU
rnacentral:rRNA from 1 species